rnacentral:piRNA from 1 species
UCUCCUUGAUUUCAGUAGAGGAUAUAGCCUA